AUACGGAGGGUCCGAGCGUUAUCCGGAAUCAUUGGGUUUAAAGGGUCCGUAGGCGGGAAUCUAAGUCAGUGGUGAAAUCUUGCAGCUCAACUGUAAAAUUGCCAUUGAUACUGGAUUUCUUGAAUUAGUGUGAAGUGAUUAGAAUGUGUAGUGUAGCGGUGAAAUGCAUAGAUAUUACACAGAAUACCAAUUGCGAAGGCAGGUCACUAACACUAUAUUGACGCUGAGGGACGAAAGCGUGGGGAGCGAACAGGAUUAGAAACCCCAGUAGUCC
rnacentral:rRNA from 1 species